rnacentral:rRNA from 1 species
AGUGAACGCUGGCGGUAGGCCUAACACAUGCAAGUCGAACGGCAGCACAGUAAGAGCUUGCUCUUACGGGUGGCGAGUGGCGGACGGGUGAGGAAUACAUCGGAAUCUACUUUUUCGUGGGGGAUAACGUAGGGAAACUUACGCUAAUACCGCAUACGACCUACGGGUGAAAGCAGGGGAUCUUCGGACCUUUCGCGAUUGAAUGAGCCGAUGUCGGAUUAGCUAGUUGGCGGGGUAAAGGCCCACCAAGGCGACGAUCCGUAGCUGGUCUGAGAGGAUGAUCAGCCACACUGGAACUGAGACACGGUCCAGACUCCUACGGGAGGCAGCAGUGGGGAAUAUUGGACAAUGGGCGCAAGCCUGAUCCAGCCAUACCGCGUGGGUGAAGAAGGCCUUCGGGUUGUAAAGCCCUUUUGUUGGGAAAGAACAGCAGCAGGUUAAUACCCCGCUGUUCUGACGGUACCCAAAGAAUAAGCACCGGCUAACUUCGUG